AAUGAAUAUAGUAAUGUCUAUUAUUGCUAUCAGUUUGAUUUUAACUUAUACAUGUUAUAUGUUCUAAAUAAAUGAUUUUUAAACUUGUAUAUAAAAGCUAUUUAAUAAUAUGUCUUUAUGUGGUAACAUAAAGUAUUUGAUUUUUUUCAGUGAGAACGUGCUAAAGUGCCUUUUUUAAAAACGCGCCCCUCUAUUUUCAAAUCCUAGCUGGAAC
rnacentral:lncRNA from 1 species